UUUCCGUAGGUGAACCUGCGGAAGGAUCAUUACUGAGUUUUGAACGGGUUGUAGCUGGCCUAAACAAAGGCAUGUGCACGCCUGGCUCAUCCACUCUAACCACUGUGCACUUUAUGUAAGAAAUGACAGAUGAUGACAGUUUGUCAGCGGAAGUCUUUCUUAUGUUUUUAUUACCAACAUCAUAGUAACAGAAUGUUCAAUUGCAUAUAAUGCAUCUAUAUACAACUUUCAGCAACGGAUCUCUUGGCUCUCGCAUCGAUGAAGAACGCAGC
rnacentral:misc_RNA from 1 species